rnacentral:lncRNA from 1 species
GUCUUGUGGCUUCAGCUUGGCUGUUGAGUGGAGAAGACCAGGUGACGCAGAGUCCCGAGGCCCUGAGACUCCAGGAGGGAGAGAGUAGCAGUCUCAACUGCAGUUACACAGUCAGCGGUUUAAGAGGGCUGUUCUGGUAUAGGCAAGAUCCUGGGAAAGGCCCUGAAUUCCUCUUCACCCUGUAUUCAGCUGGGGAAGAAAAGGAGAAAGAAAGGCUAAAAGCCACAUUAACAAAGAAGGAAAGCUUUCUGCACAUCACAGCCCCUAAACCUGAAGACUCAGCCACUUAUCUCUUGUUUGUCACAGUGUGACAACUGACAGCUGGGGGAAAUUCCAGUUUGGAGCAGGGACCCAGGUUGUGGUCACCCCAGGUAAGCCCCAUUCCCU